UUUAAAGGUUUAGUUUAUACAACUGAUUUCAUUCUGCAAACUCCACAAUAUAAAUGGCAAUAACUACAUAUUUUAAAUACUGUAAUAAAAAUAAACAAAGUCAUUAGUUCUGUAAUGCAGUAAGAACUUAUAACUUUAAAAAACAAAUUGUGAAGAAAAGCAUACUUAAUAAAUUAAGGAACAUCUGAACUGCUAAUAGUUUGGGAAAGAAUUUGAACUUUUAUAAUAUGUAUACAAAAGCAGUAGAAAUGAAGAAAACAAAUGACUACAUACUGCUGUUGCACAGAGAAGAUUGGGUGUACUUUAUUAACAAUUCCAUCCUCUUUCCUGCAGCCUGGAGCAGGAACAAUUUCAUUAUUGGACAGGAGUCUCCAACAGCAAACGGGUACUGCAAUACGUUACUGAGCAACUCACUGUGAUUUCACACCGUAUGAGGCAGGAGAAAGCUUUUAAAAGUUAAAAAAGGCACGCAUAGCUGAUUUCAUAUAUUCUAGAGUCCAGGCUACUCUCUUAGAUACAAUGUUUAGAACACUUGUAUAGCAAAACAAUUUUUAAAUAAACAUUUCCAAAAACUUGAAUACACAACUUAGGAACAAUGGAUCUGCACCCCCCCCCCCAAAAAAAAGUUACAUUAAAAAAAAAGUGUUAAGAAUCAUAAAAUAAUUAGAGCUAACCUAGAGAUUAAAAAAAGGAUUCAUAAGCAACCUAAAU
rnacentral:lncRNA from 1 species